CCUACGGGGGGCAGCAGUGAGGAAUAUUGGUCAAUGGGCGGAAGCCUCAACCAGCCAAGUAGCGUGCAGGAUGACGGCCCUACGGGUUGUAAACUGCUUUUAUACGGGAAUAACGCGCCUUACGUGUAGGGCUUUGCAUGUACCUUAUGAAUAAGGACCGGCUAAUUCCGUGCCAGCAGCCGCGGUAAUACGGAGGAUCCGGGCGUUAUCCGGAUUUAUUGGGUUUAAAGGGAGCGUAGGCGGCAUGUCAAGCGUGCUGUGAAAGGUUCGGGCUCAACCCGGACCUUGCAGCGCGAACUGGCGUGCUUGAGUACGCUGAAGGCAGGCGGAAUUCGUGGUGUAGCGGUGAAAUGCUUAGAUAUGACGAAGAACCCCGAUUGCGAAGGCAGCUUGCUGAAGCGGCACUGACACUGAUGCUCGAAAGCGUGGGUAUCGAACAGGAUUAGAUACCCUUGUAGUC
rnacentral:rRNA from 1 species